UCUCUCUAUCUCUCUCUAUCUCUCUCUCUCUCUCUCUUUCUACAUCUAUUCUUCUUCUUCUCUCACCCCAAAUAUGGAAGUUCAUCAACCCAGAGCCUCCAGCCUACGCCUGCAAGUCCUGCUCCUGCUGCUUCUGCUGCUUCUGCUUCUUGGUGGUGGGUGGUUUUAAUUCGUAGAGGUCCCAACGUCCGAUGAAGUUGUAGUGACCAUGUGUUGUUUGAAAAAGAAAGAUGCGAUAGCAGAGCUGUUCCCGGUAGCUGAUGCCACAGCGUUUUUCACCGACUUGCAUCACGUACUCAAAAGUCCGGACUUUGUGCCACCGUCGACUAGUGCUCCUAGAACAGGCAAGUGUUUUUUAGCUUUAGAAGAAUGAAUGUCAACAAGCAAGUGUUUUAGAUGGCUGGAAGAUUGUUAAAUUACUCUCUUAGGAGGUAAUUGAAUAUCCUAAUCACUUUUACCACCAUUUUCAGGUCAUUUGAUGCAUCAGUUAGUUGUGCACUUCCAUAUAUAGGCUGUGUUGCAAAAGAUAGUCUUUUGACAUUUUUUUGUCUUUGGAUUUAGGUAGUUUCCAUGGUGAGAUAACAAAUCUGUGCAUCGCCUCGAGUGUCUCUGCACAUUUCAAAUCUGUGCCGGAGCUGUGUGGCUCCGUCAAGGUAAAAGCUCCAUCUCCCGAUCUCCGUUGAUUUCAUAUAGAGUAGCAUGUGUUAGUUAUGGUUGACUUUGUUUAUUACUGUUGAUAGAGUCUGGGAAGUGUCUUGGUGAAUUCUGUAAACAAGAAUAUCACUUUAGCUCCAUAAUUGUAUUUCAUACUAUACAGGUUGGUAUAGUAGAAUGAAUGUCUGCCACAGUGCCACUUCUUCUUUUCCAUGCAAUCUUCAGCAAAUUAU